GUUGACAUACUAGUUCCCAUAUGAUCACCAAAGUUAAGCAAUGUUGAGACUGAUUUGUACUUAGAUGGAUUGAUGACCACUUGGGAAUACCUGGUGCUGUAA